rnacentral:misc_RNA from 1 species
GAUGAAGAACGUAGCGAAAUGCGAUAAGUAAUGUGAAUUGCAGAAUUCAGUGAAUCAUCGAAUCUUUGAACGCACAUUGCGCCCCCUGGUAUUCCGGGGGGCAUGCCUGUUCGAGCGUCAUUUCAACCCUCAAGCUCUGCUUGGUAUUGGGCGUCGCCGGGGAGUCUCCCCGGCGUGCCUCAAAGCCAUCGGCGGUGGUGCCUUUCUCUAAGCGUGGUAGAAUUUUUAUUCGCUUCUGAGUUGGGCUUCGCCUGCCGGACAAACCGGGCUCUAGCGGCCCACCUUCUCAGGUUGACCUCGGAUCAGGUAGGGAUACCCGCUGAACUUAAGCAUAUCAAUAAGCGGAGGA